AGUACGGUUUUCUAUUCCAUUGAAGUUAUUGAAACCACUGGUAAAACACUUCGAAUUAGAAUUUCCCGCUUAAGGCAUCUCAUUCAGCACUACAACAAAUUUAAGCACCUGGCUGUGUCGCCACCGGGCCGUGCAGUGGGCGAUGCAACUCGCGUGACGUCACAGCCCCUGCGCAGUGCCACGCAAGCCUCAGCCGGCCGUAUGGACUCACCUGUUUCCUACCGCCACGAAGAUACGUUUCAAAAUAACACUAAACAUACUUAUAAAAUAUCUGUGCUUGUUGCGUAAGUCAAAAUAUGUGAUAUUGAACUAUUUACUUUUAAAAUUUAUAAGGGAGAUUAGAGACUUUAUUUUAAAACAAUUACUGAGUUUCCAAAGUUCUAAAGCAGUUAAUAAAGCUAAAAAAAAAAAAAAAAAAAAAAAAAAAAAAACUGACUUCAAGAAACCUGAUAAUUUUCAAUCGCGAUUUUCUCAAAACUAUGAUUUUGAACAUAACCCCUUUUACGCAACAAGCACAGAUAUAUCCAUUGAAAAGAAAUAUGCUGAAUUUGGCAUAUAUUAUGGCAUACAUUAUUGUGUAUGUUUAGGAUGGCGUAGUUUGUUUAUUUGGAACUGCUGCAUUACACCCACUGUCCUAGCUAAUUACGACCGGGUUAAAAGUUUCUUACUGUUUGUUAUUGUUUGAUGGUACUUUAAAGAGAGUCAAACAAGAAACCAUAUAAAUGACAGAGUUUUCCCAAAAUACAAAACAGUUUGCAUUCGCACUUAUUGUCAAAUAAUAACGUGAAUCCGAUGGCAGAUUUCUAACAAGUAAAAAACUUUGGGUUGUAAACAAUUGGUUGUGUGCGUAUUGAGGUUUGUAUUCACUAAUUAGCAGUUACAAAGCAAUGGCUCUGCAAUUCGUAAACUUAGUUGUCAGCAAGCUCAUGGAGUGUUCGCAAGGGUUGCUGACAGUAUCGAGUCAGACAAUGUUUCGGCCUCUGCAUGAGUGAAUCAAUGCGCCAGCUGAACAUUUUUAACAUUUGAUGCAAAGUAAUGGCGUCUUUGCUGGCAGUUUGCUAUCACUACAGUAAUGUGAAUAUGUGAGUACUGAGCAGGUUUAUCAACAGCCCAGACAUAAUUCAGGAGGUUCCUAUUCGUGGAAACUAUCCAACAAAGAACGUAAGUUGGUUUAUAAUAUAAGCCCAACACCUAUAGCUUACAUCUUUUUAUAAACAUUAUCACAACUUUACCUUCCUGAAUCACUGUAAUGUUUAUGUAACUUAGUGUAAUAAUAAAAGUUAGUUAAAUUCAAUUUUUUUAAAUAUUGUGCAAAUAAAAAUUAUUUCUGAUAUAUAUAAUGAUAAAAAUAUAUUUUACAAAAAAAGCUUUUUAAUGAAGAACCUCUUGAAAAACUACAUUGCAUGUUAACUGUAUCUGGCUAUUCAAUAAUAUUCCUUGCUGUGGAUAAUAUUCAAUAUACACCAGGAUGGCAACCAUAUUGGCAGUGCGAUUUGUAUGAAAGUGCUUGAUUGAAUAAAGUUCACAACAUAAGCAUG